UACGUAGGGUGCAAGCGUUUAAUCGGAAUUACUGGGCGUAAAGCGUGCGCAGGCGGUUAUGUAAGACAGAUGUGAAAUGCCCGGGCUUAACCUGGGAACUGCAUUUGUGACUGCAUGGCUAGAGUACGGUAGAGGGGGAUGGAAUUCCGCGUGUAGCAGUGAAAUGCGUAGAUAUCGAGAGGAACACCUGCGGCGAAGGCGGGUUGCUGGGCUGACACUGACGCUGAAGCGCGAAAGCUAGGGGAGCGAACGGG
rnacentral:rRNA from 1 species